rnacentral:lncRNA from 1 species
UUCUUCAGGAUGUUGAACCUGAACACAUCAGCGCAGGCGAUCACCUGCAUCGUGAUCGGUGCGACUACGUUAUUCAUAUGGCACGUUGUUCGCUUUUACCGGAAUGUAUCGAGGCACCCGAGAGGUCCGUUUCCAUGGCCUAUUGUUGGAAACUUGCUCGCAGUGGGAGCGAGGAAACACUUCAAGAAUAGGAUCUUGGCAUGGUCCGACAAUUACGGCGACGUGUUCACCUUCUGGAUGGGCGAAAAGCCUGUCGUAGUGUUGGGUAGCCACGAUAUCGUUAAGGAGGCGUUCGUAGCUAGGAGAAACUCCUUUGGUGGACGGCCUCCUUGUAAUAUGGGGGAAAUGCGCAAGCAGAAAGGGGAUCACGACAUCAUUUUUGAAGAUGCAAACCUGACCUGGAAAGCGCUCAGAAAAG